rnacentral:snRNA from 1 species
GUCCUUGCUUCGGUAGCACAUACACUAAAAUUGGCAUGAUACAGAGAAGAUUAGCAUGGCCCCUGCUCAAGGAUUACACACACAUUCAUGAGACAUACCAUAUUUUU